AUUGAACGCUGGCGGCAUGCCUAACACAUGCAAGUCGAACGGCAGCACAGUAUGUAGCAAUACAUAUGGGUGGCGAGUGGCGGACGGGUGAGUAACGCGUGGGAAUCUGCCCUAUAGUGGGGGACAACCCGACGAAAGUCGGGCUAAUACCGCAUACGCCUACGGGGAAGGCUUCGGCCGCUAUUGGAUGAGCCCGCGUCGGAUUAGCUAGUUGGUGAGGUAAUGGCUCACCAAGGCGACGAUCCGUAGCUGGUCUGAGAGGACGAUCAGCCACACUGGGACUGAGACACGGCCCAGACUCCUACGGGAGGCAGCAGUGGGGAAUAUUGCACAAUGGGCGAAAGCCUGAUGCAGCAAUGCCGCGUGUGUGAAGAAGGCCUGCGGGUUGUAAGCACUUUCGGUAGGGAAGAUAAUGACGGUACCUACAGAAGAAGCACCGGCUAACUCCGUGCCAGCAGCCGCGGUAAU
rnacentral:rRNA from 1 species